rnacentral:rRNA from 1 species
AACGAACGCUGGCGGCGUGCCUAACACAUGCAAGUCGAGCGAGAAAGGGGAGCAAUCCCCGAGUAAAGCGGCAGACGGGUGAGUAACACGUGGGUAAUCUGCCCUCGGGCGGGGAAUAACAUCUCGAAAGAGGUGCUAAUACCGCAUAACAUCCAUGGACCUGUGGGUUCGUGGAUCAAAGGUGGGGAUCUUCGGACCUACCACUCGAGGAGGAGCCCGCGCCUGAUUAGCUAGNGGUGGGGUAAUGGCCUACCAAGGCGACGAUCAGUAGCCGGCCUGAGAGGGUGAACGGCCACACUGGAACUGAGACACGGUCCAGACUCCGUACGGGAGGCAGCAGUG